rnacentral:rRNA from 1 species
UACGUAGGGUGCGAGCGUUGUCCGGAAUUACUGGGCGUAAAGAGCUCGUAGGUGGUUUGUCGCGUUGUCCGUGAAAACUCACAACUCAAUUGUGGGCGUGCGGGCGAUACGGGCAGACUGGAGUACUGCAGGGGAGACUGGAAUUCCUGGUGUAGCGGUGGAAUGCGCAGAUAUCAGGAGGAACACCGGUGGCGAAGGCGGGUCUCUGGGCAUUACCUGACGCUGAGGAGCGGAAGUGUGGGGAGCGAACAGG